UUUAUGGAGAGUUUGAUCCUGGCUCAGGAUGAACGCUGGCGGCGUGCCUAAUACAUGCAAGUCGAGCGAACGGACGAGAAGCUUGCUUCUCUGAUGUUAGCGGCGGACGGGUGAGUAACACGUGGAUAACCUACCUAUAAGACUGGGAUAACUUCGGGAAACCGGAGCUAACACCGGAUAAUAUUUUGAACCGCAUGGUUCAAAAGUGAAAGACGGUCUUGCUGUCACUUAUAGAUGGAUCCGCGCUGCAUUAGCUAGUUGGUAAGGUAA
rnacentral:rRNA from 1 species